CCCUUAGAUGUUCUGGGCCGCACGCGCGCUACACUGAUGCAUUCAACGAGUGUUUUUGCCUUGGCCGAGAGGCCUGGGAAAUCUUUUGAACGUGCAUCGUGAUAGGGAUAGAUUAUUGCAAUUAUUAAUCUUGAACGAGGAAUUCCUAGUAAACGCAGAUCAUCAAUCUGCAUUGAUUACGUCCCUGCCCUUUGUACACACCGCCCGUCGCACCUACCGAUUGAAUGGUCCGGUGAAGCCUCGGGAUUGUGGCUAGUUCGCUUUAUUGGGAGCUUGUCGCGAGAACUUGUCUAAACCUUAUCAUUUAGAGGAAGGUGAAGUCGUAACA
rnacentral:rRNA from 1 species